AUUGAACGCUGGCGGCAGGCCUAACACAUGCAAGUCGACGGUAACAGGAAGCAGCUUGCUGCUUCGCUGACGAGUGGCGGACGGGUGAGUAAUGUCUGGGAAACUGCCUGAUGGAGGGGGAUAACUACUGGAAACGGUAGCUAAUACCGCAUAACGUCGCAAGACCAAAGAGGGGGACCCUUCGGGCCUCUUGCCAUCAGAUGUGCCCAGAUGGGAUUAGCUAGUAGGUGGGGUAACGGCUCACCUAGGCGACGAUCCCUAGCUGGUCUGAGAGGAUGACCAGCCACACUGGAACUGAGACACGGUCCAGACUCCUACGGGAGGCAGCAGUGGGGAAUAUUGCACAAUGGGCGCAAGCCUGAUGCAGCCAUGCCGCGUGUAUGAAGAAGGCCUUCGGGUUGUAAAGUACUUUCAGCGGGGAGGAAGGGAGUAAAGUUAAUACCUUUGCUCAUUGACGUUACCCGCAGAAGAAGCACCGGCUAACUCCGUG
rnacentral:rRNA from 1 species